rnacentral:rRNA from 1 species
UAGGGAAUCUUCGGCAAUGGACGAAAGUCUGACCGAGCAACGCCGCGUGAGUGAAGAAGGUUUUCGGAUCGUAAAACUCUGUUGUUAGAGAAGAACAAGGACGUUAGUAACUGAACGUCCCCUGACGGUAUCUAACCAGAAAGCCACGGCUAACUACGUGCCAGCAGCCGCGGUAAUACGUAGGUGGCAAGCGUUGUCCGGAUUUAUUGGGCGUAAAGCGAGCGCAGGCGGUUUCUUAAGUCUGAUGUGAAAGCCCCCGGCUCAACCGGGGAGGGUCAUUGGAAACUGGGAGACUUGAGUGCAGAAGAGGAGAGUGGAAUUCCAUGUGGAGCGGUGAAAUGCGUAGAUAUAUGGAGGAACACCAGUGGCGAAGGCGGCUCUCUGGUCUGUAAAUGACGCUGAGGCACGAAAGCGUGGGGAGCAAACAGG